UCUGCCAGAUAGUUAUUCUUUUGGUAAUAGAAACACUAACCUUUUUUCUCCCUAGGGAUUUAUUAGUAAGCACGUGUAUUCUUUGGCAAAAGGGAACCUGAAAAUGCAUUUCCCUGGGGACCUGGCGCCAGUCGAUGCCUUUCAGCCCGCGGCUGACCUCGGAGACACAGAAAAGCAGGAUUCCAGGACACAUUUACGACCGUCAUAAUUGGAGAGACAGCCCUGCCCCUCCAAGGCCACCCUGCAGGCUUUGUCUACCAGGCACUUCCUCCUCUCUCCCAGGAAGCACGUGUGACUCUAACACUCCCUUGCGCUCCCACGUUGCCUCUUGGAGAUUCUGGGGGAGAAGGCGGUUUUGACUUCUGCGAUUGGAAGAUGCUCUCCCAGACGGCAGAGGGGUGUUGCUUGGCUGGCAGUGGGCACACAGGCUGGCCACUGCCCAGAUCCCCUGGCUGUAGGGUGCCAGGGUUGGGAGAGUCCUCCAACAC
rnacentral:lncRNA from 1 species